UGAAAGAAGGAAGGGGGCAGAUUCUUUAGCAGAGUGUGUUGUGACAAGACAAUGGGGAAUGGUUUCAAGCUAAAAGAGGGGAGAUUUAGGUUGGAUAUAAGGAAGAAAUAUUUUACAAUCAGGGUGGUGAGGCACUGAUGCAGGUUGCCCAGAGAGGUGGUGGAUGCCCCAUCCCUGGAGAUACGCAAGGUCAGGCUGGACGGGGCUCUAAGCAACCUGAUCUACCUGUGGGUGUCCCUGUUCACUGCAGGGAAGUUGGACCAGAUGGCCUUUAAGGGUCCCCUGCAACUCAAACAAUUCUGUGAUUCUACAAUCCCUUUGAAAAUCUAGUUAUAGAAGGGAGUCAUGAACCUGGGACCUAGUCUGCUGUCACAGCUUUCUAUUUUCAUGACUGUGUGCCAGCUGCUGCUUGGGGAGAUGAAUAACAUCUCUCUUUGAGUGGGCCUUUUUUAGGGGACUG
rnacentral:lncRNA from 1 species